rnacentral:sRNA from 1 species
AGCAGAGCUGGGCAGCACAGACCUGGGAGCCAGCAAGUCCACACAGUCUGGCAUUUACAAGUGAAACAGGUGUGACCUGCAGCUGCUGCCGUUGGGACACCAGGCAAGGGGUUAGAAUGGAGAUUGGGAAAGGGCCUCGCUGUCAAAGUUAACUAGCCUAUCAGUGAGGAAUGAAAAUCACUCCACUCUCUAGAAAACCAGGUUACUUCGUCAUUUUCCUUCCAGCUACCUCUCUCUGAAUGUCUAAAAUGAAGCGGUUUCCUUUCUUCAGCUCAGAGGCUGAGAAUGGUGUGGAGGAGAAAAAGAAAGCCUGCAGGUCGCCAACAGCCCAAUCCCCUACCCCAUCUGUGGAGGCCGAGUCCCCAGACCAGAAGAAAAUCAUUAGCCUACGGUCAAAAUCCAGUUUUGAUGGUGCCUCUUUAGCAAGUGAUAAGAACGACUGUAAAACAGAAAGCAAAAAUGACCCUAAGACUGAAAGAAAAAAGUCUUCAUCUUCCAGCCAGUACAAGGCCAAUAUGCACUUUCACAAGUUGUUUCUUAGUGUCCCAACGGAGGAACCACUGAAGCAAAG